rnacentral:rRNA from 1 species
UACAGAGGGUGCGAGCGUUAAUCGGAAUUACUGGGCGUAAAGGGCGCGUAGGCGGCUUGAUAAGUGAGGUGUGAAAGGCUUGGGCUUAACCUGGGCAUAGCAUUUUAGACUGUUGAGCUGGAGUAGGGUAGAGGGAAGCGGAAUUUCCGGUGUAGCGGUGAAAUGCGUAGAUAUCGGAAAGAACACCGGUGGCGAAGGCGGCUUCCUGGACUUAUACUGACGCUGAGGCGCGAAAGCAUGGGUAGCAAACAGG